AAUGAACGUUGGCGGCAUGGAUUAGGCAUGCAAGUCGAGCGAGAAGUGUAGCAAUACACGGAAAGCGGCGGAAGGGAGAGUAAUACGUGGUAAUCUGCCCUUAGACCUGGGAUAGCAGCGGGAAACUGCUGGUAAUACCAGAUAAUGUCUAUGGACCAAAGGUGUGAUUCCGUCUAGGGAUGAGCCCACGUCCUAUUAGCUAGUUGGUAGGGUAAUGGCCUACCAAGGCGAUGAUGGGUAGCGGGUGUGAGAGCAUGACCCGCCUCACUGGGACUGAGACACUGCCCAGACACCUACGGGUGGCUGCAGUCGAGAAUCUUCGGCAAUGGGCGCAAGCCUGACCGAGCGAUGCCGCGUGCGGGAUGAAGGCCUUCGGGUUGUAAACCGUUGUCGAGGGGGAGCAACUUCCAUAGAGUUAUCUUUAUGGAUUGAGUGAUCCCUGGAGGAAGGACGGGCUAAGUUCGUGCCAGCCGCCGCAGUAAUAC
rnacentral:rRNA from 1 species